rnacentral:rRNA from 1 species
CCUACGGGAGGCAGCAGUGAGGAAUAUUGGUCAAUGGGCGGGAGCCUGAACCAGCCAAGCCGCGUGAGGGAUGACGGUACAGCGUAUUGUAAACCUCUUUUGUCAGGGAACAAAGGCCGGGACUAGUCCCCGGUUGCGGGUACUUGAAGAAAAAGCAUCGGCUAACUCCGUGCCAGCAGCCGCGGUAAUACGGAGGAUGCGAGCGUUAUCCGGAUUUAUUGGGUUUAAAGGGUGCGCAGGCGGCCUGUUAAGUCAGCGGUAAAAGGCCGGGGCUCAACCCCGGCGAGCCGUUGAAACUGGCGGGCUGGAGUUGGAGAGAAGUACGCGGAAUGCGCGGUGUAGCGGUGAAAUGCUUAGAUAUCGCGCAGAACCCCGAUUGCGAAGGCAGCGUACCGGCUCCACACUGACGCUGAGGCACGAAAGCGUGGGUAUCGAACAGGAUUAGAUACCCGAGUAGUC